CACACUAAUAGUUGUCAAAAAAUUUGACGCUUGAAAAUUCGGUAUAAUACUUUUUCUCGCACGACUCCGUCGAAUUGGUAAGGAAAUACGACUGACUGCAAGAAUUCAUUUGUUCAGCGAUGUUACGCUGAAAAAGGUUACUUCAGGUGACAGUGAGGACCCUCUACAAGCCAUAAAGAGUCAAAGAAGUCUUUGGACAGCGCCUUUAACCGAUAGAAGGAGCAGCAAUAAAAAAAGCCUUACAAACAGACAACUCCUCUUAACGUAUUUUGUCCUGUACCCCCAUUGUAGAACCGUUGCCCGACAAGUUUUGUCUUUAUAGUGUCGUUUUGAAUGUUGGCAUCCAGGGAAUGUCUGGAUAUUUGAAAGCACUUCAAAAACUUAAGGAGGGCUUGGUGCCGCCGUCGGAAGCAUGUUGUAUCAAAGGUCAGAAGAAAUCAGAAUUGUUACCUUAAAAAUAACUGGAAUGUCUUAUGUCCGAGGGGUCUUCCUCAAAAUGAGUUCAAGAAAAAAUUGAUACGGCGGCGGGAAAUAGGCAGGAAGUCUAUCAAUGAUACCCAGUAUCGUCGCGUUUACGGUGGUGAAAUCGUCUUUAAUCACAUAACUAUGGGUGAGGCGUGAGCGCUGCAGAUCACAGCGAAAUUGAAGAGUUUGAUAUUAAGCUUAGCAAAACACCAUGAGAAAAACCGGACGUCCUGUUUGACCUGUUAGAGCUUAAAUAUCUUCUUCCCACGCAGGCAACGGAUGUUAUGGUAAUUGAAGAAUUACCUCGAUAAAUUAAUGCUGUGGAGCAGCAGUUCAGAAUCGUGUCAUCGUGUCAACGAUGAAAUCAUCACGGAAACCUCUUCUAAAGAUGGCAUUCCUGAGAUAAUUGUUAAGCCGUUAGAGAAGUGCAACUGAAUGAGCUUAGACCAUAACUUCCCUUCUUGAUGUUAAAGAUAUUGGAUCAGUCCCGCCGAAGCCACAAGAUGAGUCAGCAAUUCAGGAUUGGUUUCAACAGUGUAGUAACCCGAUUACCCAGCAACUGCAAUUCAUAAUCAAUUACGGGAGUGCUAAGCUACUGUCCUCGGAACCGGAAGCCAUUAUUUAGGAAAGCGAGCUUGCCUAGAAGCAGAUAAAGCCCAUUGUCCAGGAAGGUGGAUCAGAAUGUUUCCCUCUGAGAACGAAUGGCAGAAUGGAUUCAUAGCUUUCCUCGAGGACUUCGAGGAUAUCAUUGACCAAAAUAUGUCGGAGUACAGGAACCAGUAAGCCAAAUAACUCGACUCCAAGUGGAAUCAGUAAUAUGACUCGAAGUCGGCGAAGCAUUUGUGGAGAAUGUUGGUUGUUUCGCCCUUACCAGUUCAUCUGGAGCAGGUUCUCCCGAAGAUCAGGUAAGGGCGGAAACACCAACGU